UGUCGCCUCAGUGUGUGCGCGGCGUUCGAUGUGGCCGGUGUUGAGCUCGGCUCUGCGCGCGAAACGACUUCGCUGUUAGACUACGUUACCACAUUAGUUAGAGGCUGUGUUAACCACACGUGUUAGGAGAACCAGCCUUCGUGCCCAAGAGUUAUCAACCGUCACAGGGGCGAGGAAUGUGGAAACAGUGAUGAAGGGAGGCUGAACCAAAGACUCAGAACUGUAGCAGCGACGGGGUGCACGAAUACACCAUUGUGGCGGUGAAGAAAUAAUAGUGCGUGGUUUCGAGAGAACUUUAGACUGUCUUGGCGCGUGUCAGGGCGGCGGCUGUAGACCUGAGUGGACGCUCCUCUCUUACGACUUCAUUUGUGUGUGAUGGAGCUCUGUAAUCAAACAUAUCGGUACGGAUUUUAGGCCUUGCUCCAGGUCGAGAAUAUAAAUUUGCGGUCCUACGAUUAUCUGCCAGCAAGGUGAAUAGCAUAACAAACAAGUAGAAACCGUUUAGCACAAUUACCUCUCGCCUUUGAGUCAAAUAACAUGUUUGUUGAAAAGACUACUACAGGAACCAAUUAAUUAAACACUACUUACCACUGCGAGAACAAGUGUUUCGUUUGCAAGUAGCAGUCGUCAUGAAAUAUAAUUGUGUUUUGCCACUUUGAACAAAUGGAAAACCUCGUCCAGCGCCCAUAAAGUGGUCAUUAAAACUACGUAGAUCCAGUAAAAAGUAUAAAAAUCAUCAUCCCAGGAUAAAGUGCAGAGAAGACAAGGCCUGCUGUGUUUAUAGCCUGGGAACGUUGGAAGAUUAUCGCACAAGUAACCAAAUCUCGGAAACAAAUAUUGGUUAAGGAAGAUAAAACUUGCCCACGGCUUCCUAUUUAGAGGGCGUUUGCGCUCUUAUGUUUAUUGCGAGGUGAAGAAGGAGAGAAAGUUGUAAUGUGCGUGUGAAACCGCCAUGUUUCUGUUUGCACCGCGCGGUUUGUGUCGCGACUGUCAAUUGAGUGCGUGUUUUGUUUUCGUUGUGUUUCUAUAUUCGGUCGUGGCGCUGUACGCAGGGUUAGGGCUUCUCGCUUCGUUACAAUAACAAUUUCAAUAAUUUUUAAUUGUUUAAAAAAGAAAAGUGUUUCGUUAUUAAGUGUCUCUGUUGUGACUGGAAGUGAAGCUGAUUUUUCUGAAGUUUUGAUGUCUGAUGAACUCCUGAAAUUGCUGCUGCUGUGACGAGGAAGACCUCCUGGUUCAGCAUCUGCGUCAUUAAGAAACCUUGGAAAAGAAGCGACCUGCUUUCUGGAUUCUUUCAAACUUUACCUUAGCAUCGCUGGAAGUGGACACGCCUUAACGGUAAGUACAUUUCUGUUAAUACUAAACGUUAUGAAGUGGAUUUUAAAAGUAGGUUUUAAACUUGUAUAGGAUAUUGCCCUUUUGUGAACUCUGAGCAUGUAUUGCGUAUAAUGCCGAGCACUGACCUGUGACUGUGACUAUUACGUUCUGGCAGAAGGCCUGGACUUUUAAAAUUAGGGGCUUGUGAGAAAUUAUCCUCUCAGACAACUUGUCCUUUCUGAGAAGGAAUAAUGCAAGAUAUUAAAUGUGAUUUAAACACGUGACAGUGAAGUUGAAGUUUGACUGAUGUGGUUUACGGAGACGUUCGUAUUUCCUAGGUGAAGUUUUAGGUUCUCACGGGGACUAAUACGAAGAUGACUGUCUUCUGGGUUGUUGCAACGCAAGGUUACCGACGUUUCAGAGGUCCUUACUGCCUCCAUACUCAGAGCGAUGAGUAGACCACGAAGGUGAA